CAGCCGCCACGGUAAAACGAAGGGUGCAAGCGUUACUCGGAAUUACUGGGCGUAAAGCGUGCGUAGGUGGUGGUUUAAGUCCGUUGUGAAAGCCCUGGGCUCAACCUGGGAAUUGCAGUGGAUACUGGGUCACUAGGGUGUGGUAGAGGAUAGUGGAAUUUCCGGUGUAGCAGUGAAAUGCGUAGAGAUCGGAAGGAACAUCUGUGGCGAAGGCGACUAUCUGGGCCAACACUGACACUGAGGCACGAAAGCGUGGGGAGCAAACAGGAUUAGAUACCCCCGUAGUCCCUGUCUCUUAUAC
rnacentral:rRNA from 1 species